UACAGAGGGGGCAAGCGUUGUUCGGAAUUACUGGGCGUAAAGGGCGCGUAGGCGGCCUGCUAAGUCGAACGUGAAAUCCCUGGGCUCAACCCAGGAACUGCGUCCGAUACUGGUUGGCUUGAAUCCGGGAGAGGGAUGUGGAAUUCCAGGUGUAGCGGUGAAAUGCGUAGAUAUCUGGAGGAACACCGGUGGCGAAGGCGACAUCCUGGACCGGCAUUGACGCUGAGGCGCGAAAGCCAGGGGAGCAAAUGGG
rnacentral:rRNA from 1 species